rnacentral:tRNA from 1 species
CCCUGGUGGUGCAGAGGUUAAAGCAUCUGCCUGCAAUGCAGGAGACCUGGGUUCGAUCCCUGGAUCAGGAA